rnacentral:lncRNA from 1 species
GUGUACUUCGUCUCGGUAAUUCGGUAACGUCGUGUUGUGAGGAUUCGUUCGUCUACGUCCGUUUGUCUUCUUCAUGGACGCGUUCUUCUUCCUUGCGGGAUUUCAGGCAAGAUGAACAUACCCUUGAGAUCACUUCUAUCUUUGCUUGAUAGAUGCUCGCUCUUUUGUUAUGCCUAUGCUGCGAUACCUACCACUUGCUUAUCAUGCCUCCCAUAUUGUUGAACCAAGGCUCUAACCCACCUUGUCCUAGCAAACCAUUGUUUGGAUAUGUUACCGGUUUGCUCAGCCCCUCUUAUAGCGUUGUUAGUUGCAGGUGAAGAUUGAAGUUUGUUCCUUGUUGGAACAUGGAGAUGUUGUUCCUUGUUGGAACAUGUUUACUUGUUGGGAUAUCACAAUACCUCUUAUUUAAUUAAUGCAUCUAUAUACUUGGUAAAGGGUGGAAGGCUCGGCCUCUCGCCUAGUGUUUUGUUCCACUCUUGCCGCCCUAGUUUCCAUCAUAUCGAUGUUAUGUUCCCGGAUUUUGCGUUCCUUACGCGGUUGGGUUAUAAUGGGAACCCCUUGAUAGUUCGCCUUGAUUAAAGCUUUUCCAGCAAUGCCCAACCUUGGUUUUACCAUUUGCCACCUAGCCUCUUUUUCCCUUGGGUUUCUGGAGCCCGAGGGUCAUCUUAUUUUAAGCCCCCCCCCUGGGCCAGUGCUCCUCUGAGUGUUGGUCCGACCGAGCUGCCUGCGGGGCCACCUCGGGGAAACUUGAGGGUUGGUUUUACUCAUAGCUAGUCUCAUCUGAGUGUGCCCUGAGAACGAGAUAUGUGCAGCUCCUAUCGGGAUUUGUCGGCACAUUCGGGCGGUGUUGCUGGAUUUGUUUUAACUUGUCGAAGUGUCUUGUAGAACCGGGAUGCCGAGUCUGAUCGGAAUGUCUCAGGAGAAGGUCUAUUCCUUCAUUGACCGUGAGAGCUUGUCAUGGGCUAAGUUGGGACUCCCCUGCAGGGAUUUGAACUUUCGAAAGCCAUGCUCGCGGUUAUGGGUAGAUGGGAAUUUGUUAAUGUCCGGUUGUAGAUAACUUGAACCUUAAGUUAAUUAAAAUAAAUCAACUGUGUGAGUUACCGUGAUGGUCUCUUCUCGGCGGAGUCCGGGAAGUGAACAUGGUGUUGGAGUAAUGCUUGCCGCAGGUUGUUCUCUAGCUAUUCGUUCGCGCUUUGCUUUCUCUUCUCGCUCACUUUUGUGAACAGGUUAGCCACCAUAUAUUCUAGUCGCUUGCAGUAGCUCCACAUAUUUACCUUGCCUUGCCUAUAAGCUUAAAUAGUCUUGAUCGCGAGGGUGCGAGAUUGCUGAGUCCCUGUGGCUCACAGAUUACUUCCAAACCAGAUGCAGGGCCUGAUGACUCCGUUCCAGAUGACACGCUUGAGCUCAAGUGGGAGUUCGACGAGGACUCACACCGUUACUAUGUGUCUUUCCCUGAUGAUCAGUAGUGGUGCCCAGUUGGGGCGAUCGGGGCCGUGUUGCAUGUUGGGUUUAUCUUUUAUUUUGGCACCGUAGUCGGACCAUGAGUGCUUGGUUGAUGUAAUGCUAUUUAUGUACUUUGAUUGAUGUGGCGAGUGUAAGCUAACUAUGUAUCUCCCCUUUUAUUAUCUAUACUACAUGGGAUGUUGUG